GCGGUGGACGGAACAAGAGAGGAAGGAGCAAGCGAUGCAAGAAAUGCAGGGGCAUGAUGAAGGUAAGAGAUGCAGAGGCAAGAGAGGUCGAGGUUGGGCUUGUGGUCUUCUUUGAUUAUAUUUUGUUCUAUAGUUUAUAUGUUGUUUUGGUUGUGGAAUUUAUUGUUCCCUUUUAUAAUUUCAAUUUCAGUCACAUGAUUCUUCUUGUUUAG
rnacentral:lncRNA from 1 species